rnacentral:lncRNA from 1 species
GGGCUCGGGGCUUCCGCCGGAGACAAUGCCUCGGGGCCGAUCAGACCCGACAGUGCACCUGGUUCAACUGGCAAGAUUGGAUACGGGACGUUGGCCUUGGGGUCCGUAUCACUGCAUGGGGAUCCUGCAAAUUCAUGUCGAAAAUUGUUGUGAGCGGUUUUUGUAACUCGGUUUGUCUAGGUUCCUUUAACGCAUACUGAAUACGAACACCUACAAACGACUCAUUAGAACCGUUCAUAUGGCACGACACCAGUCAAUAGGCCUCGAUGUUAUUUUCAGGUGUUCGUAUUCAGUAGGUUAAAAUUCCGUACUUACUCAUAUAUUUGCUGGCAGUUCCGGGGAAAUCGGUGACAAUGCCAUCAACCUUGAACCCUUGAGCGUAUGAAGCAAUCUCAGUGAUGGGGUCUGAGAAAUAAUCGAACAUGAGACUGACGAACUCGUUCCUCAGCCAGUGGGCGUACACAGUGAUGUUCGCGGCCUUCAUUUCCUUGACGACGUUGGUCGUGCCAGAAAUGAAGUAAUCGGUGAUCUUGACGAUCGAAUCCUUGGUGAUGGUUACUGCAUCUGCGUACUUCUUGAUCUCCGCCACAGAUUCCUUGGUUGCUUCGCUUAUCUUCUCCUUGAUGUUGAGCACUCGCUUGU